UACGGGGGGGGCAAGCGUUGUUCGGAAUUACUGGGCGUAAAGGGCUCGUAGGCGGCCAAUUAAGUCGGAUGUGAAAUCCCCAGGCUUAACCUGGGAACUGCAUCCGAUACUGGAUGGCUUGAAUCCGGGAGAGGGAUGCAGAAUUCCAGGUGUAGCGGUGAAAUGCGUAGAUAUCUGGAGGAAUACCGGUGGCGAAGGCGGCAUCCUGGACCGGCAUUGACGCUGAUGAGCGAAAGCUAGGGGAGCAAACGGG
rnacentral:rRNA from 1 species